rnacentral:misc_RNA from 1 species
UUUCCGUAGGUGAACCUGCGGAAGGAUCAUUCAUAUUAAAGUGUUUUAUGGCACUUUUUAAAAAUCCAUAUCCACCUUGUGUGCAAUGUUAGAUCUCGUCAAUCUUGGCGAGAUUUUUAUACAUCAACUCAUUCUUUAACUAAUUUGUCUGAAAAAUAUUAUGAAUACUUAAUUCAAAAUACAACUUUCAACAACGGAUCUCUUGGCUCUC